rnacentral:rRNA from 1 species
CCUACGGGAGGCAGCAGUAGGGAAUCUUCCGCAAUGGACGAAAGUCUGACGGAGCAACGCCGCGUGAGCGAUGAAGGCCUUCGGGUCGUAAAGCUCUGUUGUUAGGGAAGAACAAGUAUAAGUUGAAUAAGCUUGUACCUUGACGGUACCUAACCNGAAAGCCACGGCUAACUACNUGCCAGCAGCCGCGGUAAUACGUANGUGGCAAGCGUUAUCCGGAAUUAUUGGGCGUAAAGCGCGCGCANGUGGUUUCUUAAGUCUGAUGUGAAAGCCCACGGCUCNACCGUGGANGGUCAUUGGAAACUGGGAAACUUGAGUGCAGAANANGAAAGUGGAAUUCCAUGUGUAGCGGUGAAAUGCGUAGAGAUAUGGAGGAACNCCAGUGGCGANGGCGACUUUCUGGUCUGCAACUGACACUGAGGCGGGAAAGCGUGGGGAGCAANCAGGAUUAGAUACCNUGGUAGUCCACGCNNUAAACGAUGAGUGCUAAGUGUUAGGGGGUUUCCGCCCNUUAGUGCUGAAGUUAACGCAUUAAGCACUCCGCNNGGGGAGUACGGCCGCAAGGCUGAAACUCAAAGGAAUUGACGGGGGCCCGCACAAGCGGUGGAGCAUGUGGUUUAAUUNGAAGCAACGCGAAGAACCUUAC